GAGUGACUCAGCUUCUGUCUCUCGAGCUGGGCUUUUCCGUCAGGGCCUGUGGCUGGGAUUCUCCUUUGAAAGCCACCUGACCUCCAUGUACCUGAACACCCCGGCGCUCGCUCUGCCUGUAGCCAGGACGCAGCUCCCAGGCCCUGGUCUGCGCUCAUUUCAUCCUCUGGCUUCCUCACUGCCCUGUGACUUCCACCUGCUCAACCUACGUACGCUCCAGGCUGAGGAGGACACCCUACCCUCGGCGGAGACCGCACUCAUCUUACACCGCAAGGGUUUUGACUGCGGCCUGGAGGCCAAGAACUUGGGCUUCAACUGCACCACAAGCCAAGGCAAGGUAGCCCUGGGGAGCCUGUUCCAUGGCCUGGAUGUGGUAUUCCUUCAGCCAACCUCCUUGACAUUACUGUACCCUCUGGCCUCCCCGUCCAACAGCACUGAUGUCUAUUUGGAGCCCAUGGAGAUUGCUACCUUUCGCCUCCGCUUGGGUUAGGGCUUCUUGUGGCCUGAAGAGGAAGUUCAUUCACAGAGACUGCCUCUUAACAUGAAGAUCAUUGGACAAGCCACACGG
rnacentral:sRNA from 1 species